rnacentral:rRNA from 1 species
UACGGGGGGGGCAAGCGUUGUUCGGAAUUACUGGGCGUAAAGGGCGCGUAGGCGGUUGGAUAAGUCAGGGGUGAAAUACCGCGGCUCAACCGUGGAAUUGCCUUUGAAACUACCGGACUUGAGGCCGUGAGAGGAGACUGGAAUUCCCAGUGUAGCGGUGAAAUGCAUAGAUAUUGGGAAGAACACCAGUGGCGAAGGCGAGUCUCUGGCACGGUUCUGACGCUGAGGCGCGAAAGCUAGGGGAGCAAACGGG